GAAAUGCGAUAAGUAAUGUGAAUUGCAGAAUUCAGUGAAUCAUCGAAUCUUUGAACGCACAUUGCGCCCGCCAGUACUCUGGCGGGCAUGCCUGUUCGAGCGUCAUUUCAACCAUCAAGCCCCGGGCUUGUGUUGGGGACCUGCGGCUGCCCGCAGGCCCUGAAAAACAGUGGCGGGCUCGCUGUCACACCGAGCGUAGUAGCAUACAUUCUCGCUCAGGGCGGGCUGCGGGUUCCGGCCGUUAAACGACCUUCAUAACCCAAGGUUGACCUCGGAUCAGGUAGGAAGACCCGCUGAACUUAAGC
rnacentral:misc_RNA from 1 species